ACAAAUUAGAAAAUUAAAACAAAAAUUAAAAGUAAAAGUUCAAAAAACUGGGUUCCUUCCCAGCAAGCGCUUCUUUAACGUCACUAGCUUGACCCAAUAAGUUCAUCAUCAUAGCAUCCACCAGUAGAUGUUGUUAGUAACAUCCAUUAGUAGAUGUCUAAUCACCAUCCUCUUCCAUAGUUGCAUCGAUCAGUAGAUGACCUCUCAAACUCUUUCAGCAUCCAUCAGUAGAUGCAAAUCUUUCUCAUCAACAUCCUUCAGUAGAUGUUAAUUUUUCUCUUCUUCAUCAACAUCCAUCCGUAGACGCUGUCAGUACUGCCAUCAGAAGCAGCACAUAACCUAAAAAAAACUCAAACACACAAAAACAAAAUUAAAUCCAAACCACACAAAUAAUAAAAUAAAAAAGAAGAAACUAAAAAUAAAAAUAAAAUAAAAAAAUAUAAUAAAAUAUAACAAAAUAAAAUAAAAUAAAAUAAAAUAAAACGAAAUCAAAUAAAAUAAAAUAAAAUCAAAUCAAAUAAGAUCAAAUAAAAUAAAAUCAAAUCAAAUCAAAUCAAAUCAAAUAAAAAUAGAAUAAAAUAAAACAAAAUAAAAGAUAAUAGAUUCAAGAACUGGGUUCAAGAUAUUUUUUCUUUUUGUUAAAUUUCUUUAGAAAUUUAAUAUACACAGGAACUUUAUUCUCCAAUUUCUUGAAGAUUUCCAUGAAACACUCAAAUUGUUUUUCCUUUUUCUUCCUAAGAUCCUUCUUUGGGUGAGGAAGGGGUUUUUCAUAUGAUUCUUUCUUUUUGCUUUCAUCCUUCCCCUCUCUCUUUUUCUCCUUGGGACAUUCCUUAGGGCACAAAGGACUUUUCUCAAUUUUUUUCUUUUCUCUCUCAACCCCUUCUUUUUCUUCCUCUACAUCCUUCUCUUUUUCACUUAAACAUUUUUUUUCUUCUGUCUCAUCUUCUUCCUUCCCUACUUCUUUCUCUGUUUCACUCAAACUUUAUUUUUCUUUUCUCUCUAUUUUUAUCUCCUCCUCUUUCUUUUCCUCUUCUUGUUCUUCAUCGCUCAAACUUUCUUCUUCUUUUCUCUCUAUUUUCCUCU
rnacentral:lncRNA from 1 species